AGCUUGGGCUCUGAAGCUCAGGGAUGGGGCGUGCUCUCCUGCUGAAAAAGAAAGCACUUCAGAACUCAUCCUGUCCAUCUCCACAAGCACAGAAACUGCAAACAGCUAAGAACAGAAAAGACUCAGGAAGAAACCAAGCCAAGGAACACCUCCCCAAGAAUUUACAAUGGAUAGAUGAGACAAAGUUAAAGGAGACUGAGGGCCAUAGACUGUUCAAUUGCUCUGCCCACCUGGAGGGCCAGAGUCCUAGAUUCUUGCUGUGCACCCCAGCGGAUAUCAGCUGAUGGAUGGUGUGCCAAAUCAUCCUUUUGGAGACCUGAACUGCUAUCUGGGCGAUUAUACGUCCCCAAGGUAGACUGCACAACAACGGCCAACAGGCAUACUGACUCCCCAAUGCCACCCUGCCCCCACGAAGGAGGACAGUUACACUUACCAACAAAGAAUGCCCCCACUUUCAUAGGUAUAAUCUUUGCUAAAAGCUCUCUACUGAGAGGCAGACGCACAAAAAAAUUAUAAUGGAAGUAACCAGUGCAUCAUUUGUGUCUCCAAAACAAACACUUGUUUUGUUUAAUGUUUUCUUUUCCUUUCUUUAAUAAUAAAAUAGCCAUGGUUAAUAAUUGUGA